rnacentral:rRNA from 1 species
UACGGGGGGGGCAAGCGUUGUUCGGAAUUACUGGGCGUAAAGGGUUCGUAGGUGGCUUGCUAAGUCAGACGUGAAAUCCCUCAGCUUAACUGGGGAACUGCGUCUGAUACUGGCGAGCUUGAGUGCAGGAGAGGAACGCGGAAUUCCAGGUGUAGCGGUGAAAUGCGUAGAUAUCUGGAGGAACACCGGUGGCGAAGGCGGCGUUCUGGACUGCAACUGACACUGAUGAACGAAGGCCAGGGGAGCAAACGGG